rnacentral:rRNA from 1 species
AUUCCAGCUCCAAUAGCGUAUAUUAAAGUUGUUGCAGUUAAAAAGCUCGUAGUUGGAUUUCUGGUGGGCGGACAAGAGCGGCAUGAAGUGUCAGCUUGCGUUCCCCGCCAUCCUUCUGUUAAACCGGUACGGUGUUUGUUCGCUGACCGGCGGCUCAGAUAUUUUACCUUGAGAAAAUUAGAGUGAUUCAGGCAGGCUCGGCCGGGAUACAUUAGCAUGGAAUAAUGGAAUAGGACUCCAGCCUCUUCUGUUGUUCUGAGGGGUUGAAGUAAUGAUUAAUAGGGAUAGUUGGGGGCAUUAGUACUUAACUGUCAGAGGUGAAAUUCUUGGAUUUGUUAAAGACUAACUUAUGCGAAAGCAUUUGCCAAGGAUGUUUUCAUUA